GACGAACGCUGUGCGGCAGGCUUACCUCAUGCAAUUCUCACGAGAACGCUCUGGCUUCUGCCGGGGCAAGUACAGUGGCGGACGGGUGCGUAUCGCGUACAUAACCUGCCCACAGGCGCGGGAUAACCACAUGGAAACCGUGGCUAAUACCGCACGUCGUCUGGACCCCUCAUGGGGACCAGAUGAAAGCCUUCUGGCGCCUUUUGGAUGGGUCUACUUUGGAUUAGCUUGUUUGGUGAGGCAACGGCUCACCAAGGCAACGAUCCAUAGCUGGUCUGAGAGGACUAUCAGCCACACUGGGACUGAGACACUGCCCACACUCCUACGGGAGGCAUCAGUGGGGAAUCUUGCACAAUGGGGUCACCCCUGAUGCAUCCAUGCCGCGUGGAGGAAGACACCCCUAUGGGGCGUAAACUCCUUUUCUGAACGAAGAAACCCCUGUACGUUCAGGGCGCGACGGUAGUUCAAGAAUAAUCACCGGCUAACUCCGUGCCAUCAGCCGCGGUAAUACUGACGGUGCAAGCGUUGUCCUGAAUCACUGGGUGUAAAGGGUGCGCAGGCGGGGCAACAAUUCGGAUGUGAAACCCCAUGGCUCAACCAUGGAGGUGCAUUCCAAACUGUUGCUCUUGAGUCCCGGAGAGGCUGUCGGAAUUCGUGGUGUAUCGGUGAAAUGCGUAGAUAUCACGAGGAACACCAGAGGCGAAAGCGGGCAGCUGGACGGGUACUGACGCUCAGGCAAGAAAGGGUGGGGAGCAAACAGGAUUAGAUACCCUGGUAGUGCAGGCUGUAAAAGAUGAACGCUGGCGGUUGCCCCGCUCAAGGGGCAGUGGAUAAGUUAAUGCGUUAAGCGUUCCACAUGGGGAGUAAGAUAGCAAGGUUGAAACUCAAAGGAAUAGACGGGGGCCCGCACAAGCGGUGGAGCAUGUGGCUCAAUUCGAUGCAACGAGAAGAACAUUACGUAGGAUGGAACGACUAGAGGACAGAUCCUGAAAGGGAGCUUCCCAUUUGGGGCUUCUAGAGAGGUACUGCAUGGCUGUGGUCAGCUAGAGUAGUGAGAUUGUUGGGUUAAGUCAAGCAACGAGCGUAACCCGUGUUGUUAGUUACCAUCGGGUAGUGCCGGGGACUGUAGUGAAACUGCGUGCGCAAGCAGUGAGGAAGGUGGGGAUGACGUCAAGUCAUCAUGGUCUUUACGCCUAGGGCUGCACACGUGUUACAAUAGUGCAGGUACAACGGGUAGCCACCUCGAGAGAGGGAGCGAAUCCCUGAAAACCGGUGCCAGUUCGGAUUGGAGUCUGCAACUGGACUCCAUGAGAGACAAGGAAAUCGUUAGUAAGUACGCGGAAUGCAGCAAAUGCCGCGGUGAAUCCGUUCCCGGGCCUUGUACACACCGCCAGUCUAGCCGUGGUAAGUUGAGAGCGCCCGAAUGUGCCGUGCACUCAAACUCGGGGCAUUUGUGCGGGAGUGAGAGCGGCACGAUAGUUGAUUUGCAGUAAGUGAGUCAU
rnacentral:rRNA from 1 species